CGUAUUUGAGUCCUUUCGAGUUGUUCUUCGCAACACACUGCCAUCCGACGAAAGGUUAGACCGACGAAGCCGCUCGUAUUGUACAUGAAAAAAUGGUGGAGUUGGUAGAAAAAGCGAAUGAAGAAGAUAAAGAAUUAAGUGAGCAAGAUGCGAUGGAAAUAGUGCUUGGAAAGCAAUCAUCGUAUACGAAAGGGAUGGGUUACGGUCCAAAGCCACCAAGUCAGAAACAGGCAGGAGGAUACUCUCAGGAAUAUGUUCAUGCCUUGGAGGAUAAACUGGCAAAAAAUGAAGAGUUAUUGCAAACUCAACGCCAGGAAACCCAGAGGUUGUUUGAAAUGCAACGUCAAGAGUAUGAAAGAAAGUUUGACAGUAUAGAAGAACUUUUUCGAAGAUUUACUGAAGGAGGAGGAAGUUCAUCGUUGAACAAGGAAAUAUGAAGAUUUAUGACCACAAUGCGUCAGGCACAUUGCAAGACCAGAAUUUCUAGCUUACUAGAAGAAUGAGCCAGCCAAGUUACUUUGAAAGUUUCAACUUCACAAUACUUCAGCCACAUUCGAUGCCUAGAUUGUCAAAACGGGAAUAACCACUUUUGACCAAGUAAUUGGUCCAAGAUUUGGUUUUACUCCUAAUAUCUCUUCAACAAGUGGUUGCCAACUUCCCUUGAAUUUC